GACGAACGCUGGCGGCGUGCUUAACACAUGCAAGUCGAACGAAGUGGCGAACGGGUGAGUAACGCGUAAUCAACCUGCCCUUCCGAGGGGGACAACAGUUGGAAACGACUGCUAAUACCGCAUACUGAAGAAUGGGAUUGCGUCUGAUUAGCUAGUUUGCGGGGUAACGGCCCACCAAGGCGAUGAUCAUUAGGCUGUCUGAGAGGAUGAACGGUCAAAUGUGGACUGAGACACGGCCCAGACUCCUACGGGAGGCAGCAGUGGGGAAUCUGCCGCAAUGGACGAAAGUCUGACGGAGCAACGCCGCGUGAGUGAUGACGGCCUUCGGGUUGGAAAGCUCUGUUAAUCGGGACGCGGUACCGGAAGAGAAAGCAACGGCUAACUACGGGCCAGCAGCCGCGGUAAUAC
rnacentral:rRNA from 1 species